AACUUUACCUACAUUGGGAGGAGAACGGUAGAUUCCUAGCUAAUGUUAGAAGCUAUUAUAAACAGAGUAAAUGGGAGUUUCCAUUGUGGUUCUGCAGGUUAAGAAUCCAACAUAAGAUUUCCCAUUGUGUCGGAUUGUUAACCACUGAGCCACUCCCGUUAUCACUAUUUUAAACUCAGCUUUGAACAAGAUUUGUUAUCCAUACAAAAGUCACAUCAAAUAAAUCAUUUGUUUCAAAGAAAUAACUCUAUUUUUCCCUUUCAGCACUGAAUUUAAAGAAUAAAUAAAAACAGUAGAUAUUUUUACCCUCAUCUGGUUCCUGUAUUAACUACAUGUAAUCAAAUCGAUUAUUGAGUGGUUCAUUAGCAAAGAGUGUUUUUUCCUUCCACAAUGAAACAUCUCCAAAUUUUCAGAUCAGCAAGCAGAUAUCACAAGAAUAUAACAAUUCUACCCAGGAAAGACAUCCCUCUUCCUCAAAGGGAUCCGGUUCUGCCCCCACAGUCUGCAGUUUGCCACUGGAAAAUCUAUCAGCCUUUUGGGGGAGGCUGGGGGUACUGACUCCUGGGAACUAGGUCUCCUGAUGCUCUUGGACCUACAGUGAAAAAACGUGUGCUGGGGACUGGAGUGUGAGGACCCCAUCCUGCUAGGCUGGAGAGUGCGGAGGCAGGGCCGUGUAUGUGUGGUGCCUGUAGGAUCAGGCACAGGAUCAGGAGGCAGGCAGCCUGGGCUACUGCCCCACUUUCACCACUUAUCACCUGUGUGAGCUUCAGUGGUCCUUUCUUUCUGAGCCUGAGUUUUCUCACCUGUAAAAUGUUGACAAGAGUUCCUACCAUCUAGAGUUAUGAUGGACACAAGAUGGUCCUGAGAGUUUAGCAUAUGCCAGGCACAUAGUACUAAAUCAAGAUUGGGUUGGAUUAGACUUCUUCACUUGGGUCGUGGGUUUGUUUUUGUUUGUUUGUUUGUUUCCAUUCUUUUUUUAAGUGCCCAGGAGGUAAACCUUGGCCUGAAUUUUCACUUCCUUCAGGAGAAGGACCGUCACUGACAACUUACAGCAGCCUUAAAGUGAGCAAGGAGAACACCAUUAGAUAACUUCCCUAAAUGUAAGAAAACAACCAGUACUUAGAUUUUCCUUACCCACCAACUUGGAAGAACUAGCAAACAAAUCAUAGUCAACCUAAGGAAUGUUUAAAAUACCUACUAUCCUCUUUCUGGAGAGCUUGUGCUUCUGGUUUAUGUUAUUUUUACACUUAGUUCUGGCUCAAUAAUACACUAUAAUGCAUCACACAAUCUAAAAAGGAAAUGUCCAGAGCGUUAUUAAUGGUAUAGCUUCUAUUUAUUGAGGAUGUACUAGACAUCCUGCUCUGAGGGCUUUAUGUGUCUUAAUGACUAUUUGAGAUAGGCACUCUGUAUAUGCCCAUUACACCGAUGAGGAAGCUGAGGCUCAAAGAAAUAAAAUCACUUUCCCAAGCUUCAACUACAAAGCUUCUUAACUCUAGGACACUUUGUUGCCUUCCAAAAUACAUUUAAAUAUAAGCACAUUGGCUGCCAGUAACUCUAGACUCACAGCCUCAUAGUUUCAAGUCCAAUGGGAAGAAAAGAUGGUUCUUUGCCAAUAUCUUAAGCAAAAGUCCUAAAAUGAUUCACAGUUGAGCUUGAAUAUGGGGAUGCAUUACAUAUUCAUUCCUGAAUCAAUCAUUGACACCAAAGGGAGAAGACGCUCUGAUUGGCCAGACCCAAAUCAUGUGCCCAGCUGUCAUCAGAGGUGCCAUCAACAUCUGGAUAAAGUUGGGGACAGGUGGUACUCCUAUCCUACAGGAUGUUAUUAACAAUAGAGAAUGGAUGCUAAGCAGCAACAUAUAAGUAACAUUAACCUAAGCCAUGAUAGGUCAUAAUUCCCUGUGAGCCUAGGGACCCCACUACACAUUCUUUUUUUUUUUUUUUUUUUUUUCUUUUUUGGCUGCCCCAUGGCAUAUGGAGUUCCUGGGACAGGGAUUGGAUCUGAGCCGCAGUUGCAACCUACACUGGAUCCUUUAACCCACUGUGCCUGGCACUACAGAGAUACUGCCAAUCCCAUUGUGCCACAGUGGGAACUCCUCAACUACACAUAUUCUUAAUCAAACUCCAUGUCCAUGAACGACAACAAGACAUAACAGAAGAGAUCAGAACAAUUCCUAAAAUUCUGGCCAGAUAAUGACUGCCAGUAUCUCGGCAGAGGUCCUGUGUUCUGGCAAAGUAAAGAUUUAAUCAGCUAGUACAGAGCAUUUCUCACUCAACAGUUAAGUUAUGCCAGAGUCAAUACCUGUGAGUUCAGAGAAGCGUAAUCAUUCCCCUACACUCACUUUGUCAUGAUCUUGGAAAUUCCAGGAUUAAAAACAAAGGAGCCAUAACAGAAACUAAAGGCACUAGAGCCAAGCAGGCUCAGAAGAUUUCAGCUUAUCCUAAAGAGCCUACAGAGGAGAAAGACUCUUCUCAGAUGGUGUCCAUAUGGUUUAUACAUAGUAUACAUGGAAUUUAUGUUGAAUCUACAGCCAGGGACAAAAGUGAUGCAAAAGGAACUGACCAAUCACCUUUCUUAGAGCUGGAAUCCACUGAGAACAUGACUCACUGGGAUGAGAGGGGUCAUUGUUGGAGGGAGCCAGCAGACUAGCAGGAUGGAAUUUGGUUCUGGUUGGAUGAAACUGUUAGCAUGGCCCUGGUACCCUUGGUUAAAUAUGUAAUCAUAUUCCAUAAGUAAAGAGAAAGGUCCACAACAUAAUAGCUCAUGAAUAUCUUCAAAACAAAGAUUAACAUUUAUCUCGAAGUACAAAUCUUCCUUAAAUUAUAAACUGCUAAUUUAAAAUGCCCAAGGAUUAGGCCAGUCUCCUAAAUCAACUCUCUGUGUAUCAGAUUCCUUUGACAUAAAACAGCCUGGGUGACGGAGUUCCCGUCAUGGCGCAGUGGAAACGAAUCUGACUAGGAACCAUGAGGUUGCACGUUCGAUCCCUGGCCUCACUCAGUGGGUUAAGGAUCCGGCAUUACCGUGAGCUGUGGUGUAGGUUGCAGACACGGCUCAGAUCUGGUGUUGCUAUGGCUCUGGUGUAGGCCGGUGGCUACAGCUCUGAUUCGAUCCCUAGCCUGGGAACCUCCAUAUGCCAAGGGUGUGGCUCUAAAAAGACAAAAGACAAAAAUAAAUAAGUAAAUAAAAUAAAAUCCAACAGCUAGCAUUUUCUUGGAAAAGGCAGCUGCUAAGUGCAGAGGUACCUUAGCCCCAUGACCUGGCCUCAGGUCAUCCUCAGCACCAUUCCCAUCGUCUCCACUUCCCUGGCCACAUUCUCCAGGGGGUGAUGGUGGUGGCGAUGAUGAUGAUGGCGGCUAACAGGAAUCUAGCACUUACUACCUGCUAAACACUCUUCUUUACCCAAGUGCUUUACAUGGAUUAUAUAAGUACUACAGUUGUCUCCACCUCAUGGGAGAAAAUAACCAGAAAUGGAGAAAAUAGGAAAGGCACAAGGUCACUGUUAGUCAGCGACUCCCUCAUCCACAUGUUUAACUCAGUCAUGGUAUUUGUGAGCAUGACAGUAAGGAUUUUCUCACUUUCAGUAACGAGUUAGUUGUUAUUUCUAAUUAUCAUCAGCUUUCUCAUUUAGAUAUGCAUGAACAAGUCUCACAUAGGUAAGAACAGGACUAAGAUGAUUUGGAUAAUUUAAAAAAAAAAAUUGGGGGCGGGCUGCACUUGUCGCCUAUGGAAGUUCCCAGGCUAGGGAGUCCAAUACAAGUGGCAGCUGCCGGACAACGUCACAACCACAGCAACACCAGAUCCAGCCCCAGCUGUGACCUAGACCAUAGCUCAUGGCAAUGCUGGAUCCCUAACCCACUGAGCAGGCAGGGGCCAGGGAUUGAACUGCGUCCUCAUGGAUUCUAGUCGGGUUCAUUACAACUGAACUACAGUGGGAACUCUGGUUUGGAUAAUUUUUAGACAGCAAAUUUCUUUGACCUACCACAGGACAUUCUGCCAUUGAACAUCUGAAACUAGAAAGGGGUGCUCAGGAUUCACCUUAGCCACCUACCCAUUUCUGGGAGCUACAGGCUACUGUACAGAGUGUAGGGUUCUCAGUAUCAGUCCUGGGUUCAAGCCCUGGCUCUGCCACUUACCAGCUGAGUGACUGGGAUAUAUUCUUAUCUUUUCAUUGUUAGUUUCUUUUCCAUACAGUAAAGAAUAAUAAAAAGUACCUCUAUGAGAAAGUACGCUAUAAAACAUUUAUGUUAUUUUAGCCCCAGUAAAUGCUUCAUGACAAUAUCAUAUUCAGGGUGGGAAAGCCUGAAUCCCAAAAUGAUCCAUGUAAGAUAUCUGCAGAAGGGAUAGAAAAUUGAGAAGACAGGAAAGGAUUAAAUUCAGAGGUAUCCAUUCUUUCUCUGCAAGAACUAAUCCUGAUUGAAAUACCCUAAAUGUUCUACUUCCACUUUCCUGGAGCAAAGAAACAUUUGAUCAUCUGUGACAACUUCCAUCAAAGUUUCCCUGGUCUACUCUCACUUGUAUGGAGGUUUUCACAUUCUAACUAGCAGCGGUGCUGCAAAAGGUGAAGAAAGGCAGGGGAGGGAUUAGGAGGCACAGGCCAGGCAACCGGCCUCCCCCUGUACACGGGUGACCUCAAGAGUGCCACUUCUUGAGAUACCAAGAAGCUGAUGGUGAUGGUUCAUUGCCCUCAUGGAAGUAUGAUCCCUGCUCCAACUCAGUGGUCUUGCUUCUUGAUAAUAUCUGCUUCUUCACUCCCAAAACUGUCCCUAAAAGCAGCUCUUAAACCUUUGAAAAGAUGGACUGAGCAGAAGGUUGAGAGAGUAGGAAAUGGCCUCAGAAGUUUACAUUUUAAAAUUUACUUAGGUCAUUUGUUUUUAUCAGGCAUCAGAAUUACUGUUGGUUGGCUGCUGACCUUAAUCCGUAUUUAACUCUACAAUAUACCAUAGAGAGUAUAUUCACGGUAUUUGCUACCUGAAGUUGGCAGUUAGCCACUCUUAGAGAUGAUGCUUCAAGAGAAUAUUGGAUGAAUCUUUUUGUGUGUGUAUGUGUGUCUUUUUAGGGCUGCACCUGUGGCAUAUGGAAGUUCCCAGGCUAGGGGUCCAGUUGGAGCUGCGGCUUCUGGUCUACACCACAGCCACAGCAUCGCAGGAUCUGAGCCAUGUCUGUGACCUACAUCACAGCUCAUGGCAACGCCAGAUCCUUAACCCACUGAGCGAAUCCAAGGAUCGAACCUACAUCUGCAUGGAUACUAGUCAGCUUUGUUUCUGCUGAUCCACGAUGGGAACUCCCUAUUUGAUGAAUCUCGUGAGUAAGGGAAGCCAGACACAAAAGAGUACAUACUGCAUGAUACCCUUUAUAUGAAGUUCAAAAAUGUGCAAAGCUAAUCUAGUGCUAGAAGUCAAAAUACUGAAUGCAUUGGAUGGGGGACUUCUUGGUAAUAGAAAUGUUCUUUUUCUUAACCAGAGUACUGGUUAACUGGUGUGUUCACUUUGUGAGAAAUUUCUAACACUGUACCUUUAUGAUUUUCUCUAUGUAUGCUAUAACAUAAGUUUACUGAGGAGGAGGAAAAGAAGUAAAGGAGGAAGAGGA
rnacentral:lncRNA from 1 species